rnacentral:rRNA from 1 species
GACAGAGGGUGCAAACGUUGUUCGGAAUUACUGGGCGUAAAGCGCGUGUAGGCGGCCAUCUAAGUCGGUCGUGAAAUCCCACGGCUCAACCGUGGAAGUGCACUCGAAACUGGAUGGCUAGAGUCCUGGAGAGGAAGGUGGAAUGCUUGGUGUAGAGGUGAAAUUCGUAGAUAUCAGGAGGAACACCGAUGGCGAAGGCAGGUCUCUGGGCUGACACUGACGCUCAUGCACGAAAGCGUGGGGAGCAAACAGG